AGUGAACGCUGGCGGUAGGCCUAACACAUGCAAGUCGAACGGCAGCACAGUAAGAGCUUGCUCUUACGGGUGGCGAGUGGCGGACGGGUGAUGAAUACAUCGGAAUCUACUUUUUCGUGGGGGAUAACGUAGGGAAACUUACGCUAAUACCGCAUACGACCUACGGGUGAAAGCAGGGGAUCUUCGGACCUUGCGCGAUUGAAUGAGCCGAUGUCGGAUUAGCUAGUUGGCGGGGUAAAGGCCCACCAAGGCGACGAUCCGUAGCUGGUCUGAGAGGAUGAUCAGCCACACUGGAACUGAGACACGGUCCAGACUCCUACGGGAGGCAGCAGUGGGGAAUAUUGGACAAUGGGCGCAAGCCUGAUCCAGCCAUACCGCGUGGGUGAAGAAGGCCUUCGGGUUGUAAAGCCCUUUUGUUGGGAAAGAAAAGCAGCAGGUUAAUACCCCGCUGUUCUGACGGUACCAAAAGAAUGAGCACCGGCUAACUUCGUG
rnacentral:rRNA from 1 species